rnacentral:rRNA from 1 species
GAGUGAUCAAGUGACAAAAGGGCAUCUGGUGGAUGCCUUGGCGGUAAGAGGCGAUGAAGGACGUGGUACGCUGCGAUAUGCUGUGGGAAGGUGCGAACAACCGUUGAUCCACAGAUCUCCGAAUGGGGCAACCCACCUUCGAUAACUAGAACUUCUAGACCGGACGAUGCGGGCUUGCUCGUGUUUUCCGGUUUCGGAUUUCUGGUUAUCAAAUGAAGGUAUUUGAUCCUGAAUACAUAGGGAUUAAAAGCAAACCCAGGGAACUGAAACAUCUAAGUACCUGGAGGAAAGGACAUCAACCGAGACUCCGCAAGUAGUGGCGAGCGAACGCGGACUAGGCCAGUGCUUCAACAAGGACAACUGGAACCAUCUGGAAAGUUGGGCCUCAGCGGGUGACAGCCCCGUACAGGUAAUGCCAAGUUGAAGACUCGAGUAGGGCGGGACACGUGAAAUCCUGUCUGAACAUGGGGGGACCACCCUCCAAGCCUAAGUACUCCUUACCGACCGAUAGCGCACCAGUACCGUGAGGGAAAGGUGAAAAGCACCCCGACUAGGGGAGUGAAAUAGAACCUGAAACCGGAUGCCUACAAACAGUCGGAGCCCGCAAGGGUGACGGCGUACCUUUUGUAUUAUGGGUCUGCGACUUAGUCUGACGAGCAAGCUUAAGGCGAUAGCUGUAGGCGAAGCGAAAGCGAGUCUGAACAGGGCGUUCAGUUCGUCGGAUUAGACCCGAAACCAGUCGAUCUUGCCAUGGACAGGCUGAAAGCAGGGUAACACCUGCUGGAGGGCCGAACCGGUGUCUGUUGAAAAAGCCUCGGAUGAGCUGUGGCAAGGGGUGAAAGGCCAAUCAAGGCUGGAAAUAGCUGGUUCUCCGCGAAAUCUAUUUAGGUAGAGCCUCAGACGAAUACCCCAGGGGGUAGAGCACUACAUGGGCUAGGGGUCCCCACAGGAUUACCAAACCUAAGUAAACUCCGAAUACCUGGGAGUACUAUCUGGGAGACACACGGCGGGUGCUAACGUCCGUCGUGAAAAGGGAAACAACCCUGAUCGCCAACUAAGGUCCCCAAGUCAUAGCUAAGUGUGAAAGGAUGUGGGAACCCCAUAACAACCAGGAUGUUGGCUUAGAAGCAGCCAUCAUUUAAAGAAAGCGUAACAGCUCACUGGUCUAAUUAAGGGUUUCUGCGCCGAAAAUGUAUCGGGGCUAAAGCUAUGCACCGAAGUUGCGGGCACGAAAGUGCGGUAGCGGAGCGUUCCGUAAGCCUGUGAAGGGAUACCCGUGAGGGGUCCUGGAGGUAUCGGAAGUGCGAAUGCAGACAUGAGUAACGACAGGAGUGUGAGAAACACUCCCGCCGAAAGUCCAAGGGUUCCUGCGUAAAGCUAGUCUGCGCAGGGUUAGCCGGCCCCUAAGGCGAGGGCGAAAGCCGUAGUCGAUGGGAACCACGUUAAUAUUCGUGGGCCAGUGGGUGUGUGACGGAUGCUGUGUGUUGUCUUCCCUUAUCGGAUUGGGAGGGCAGCGAAGGUGUCCCAGGAAAUAGCCCCCACGUAGACCGUACCCGAAACCGACACAGGUGGACUGGUAGAGUAUACCAAGGCGAUUGAGAGAAGUGUGCUGAAGGAACUCGGCAAAUUACCUGCGUAACUUCGGGAGAAGCAGGCCAUCAGUUUGGGCAACCAGACUGGUGGGGCACAGACCAGGGGGUGGCGACUGUUUACCUAACGGCCGUAACUAUAACGGUCCUAAGGUAGCGAAAUUCCUUGUCGGGUAAGUUCCGACCUGCACGAAUGGCGUAACGACUUCCCCACUGUCUCCAGCACAUGCUCAGUGAAAUUGAAUUCCCCGUGAAGAUGCGGGGUUCCUGCGGUUAGACGGAAAGACCCCGUGCACCUUUACUGUAGCUUUACACUGGCAAUCGUGUUUGCAUGUGUAGGAUAGGUGGUAGGCUAUGAAGCAGGGGCGCCAGCUCCUGUGGAGCCGCAAUGUGAAAUACCACCCUUAUGAACAUGGUUGUCUAACUGCGAGCCGUCAUCCGGCUCCAGGACAAUGUAUGGCAGGCAGUUUGACUGGGGCGGUCGCCUCCUAAAUGGUAACGGAGGCGCGCGAUGGUGGGCUCAGGUUGGUCGGAAAUCAACCGUCGAGUGCAAUGGCAUAAGCCCGCCUGACUGCGAGACUGACAAGUCGAGCAGAUACGAAAGUAGGUCAUAGUGAUCCGGUGGUUCUGUGUGGAAGGGCCAUCGCUCAACGGAUAAAAGGUACGCCGGGGAUAACAGGCUGAUGACGCCCAAGAGUCCAUAUCGACGGCGUCGUUUGGCACCUCGAUGUCGGCUCAUCACAUCCUGGGGCUGGAGCUGGUCCCAAGGGUAUGGCUGUUCGCCAUUUAAAGUGGUACGUGAGCUGGGUUCAGAACGUCGCGAGACAGUUCGGUCCCUAUCUGCCGUAGGUGUAGGAGAAUUGAGAGGAUCUGACUCUAGUACGAGAGGACCGAGUUGGACGCACCUCUGGUGGACCUGUUGUCGUGCCAACGGCACAGCAGGGUAGCUAUGUGCGGACGGGAUAACCGCUGAAGGCAUCUAAGCGGGAAACCCACCUCAAAACAAGUUCUCCCUUGAGAGCCGUGGAAGACCACCACGUUGAUAGGCCGGGUGUGGAAGCGCUGCAAAGCGUGUAGCUUACCGGUACUAAUAGCUCGAUCGACUUGAUUACUCUCAUU